ACCCAGUGAUGAGAUCAUGGCAAGUAUGAGCCAAUCAGGCUGAGAGAUUGUGCUCGUUCCUCCCGAUUGGUGGGUAAUCUUGGCAGUGUGGCGAAGAUUGGCUGCUCUGCUGUAAGGGCCCACCUAUAGUAAACUAGCAGCCCUUCUCACCCUCUGCCCAUCCCAGAGACAUGGGAGAAGGAAGGAUGAAAGCUGCUGAAAGUGUUUCUGAGAGAAUAUGUUUCAGUUGGCAAGGGGACACACCUCUUCGUUGAUGGCCUUUGCUAUGGCUAUGACUUCUUCCUUUGGUAAUCUGAGGGCA
ensembl:snoRNA SCARNA10 small Cajal body-specific RNA 10